rnacentral:rRNA from 1 species
AGUGAACGCUGGCGGUAGGCCUAACACAUGCAAGUCGAACGGCAGCACAGUAAGAGCUUGCUCCUACGGGUGGCGAGUGGCGGACGGGUGAGGAAUACAUCGGAAUCUACUUUUUCGUGGGGGAUAACGUAGGGAAACUUACGCUAAUACCGCAUACGACCUACGGGUGAAAGCAGGGGAUCUUCGGAACUUGCGCGACUGAAUGAGCCGAUGUCGGAUUAGCUAGUUGGCGGGGUAAAGGCCCACCAAGGCGACGAUCCGUAGCUGGUCUGAGAGGAUGAUCAGCCACACUGGAACUGAGACACGGUCCAGACUCCUACGGGAGGCAGCAGUGGGGAAUAUUGGACAAUGGGCGCAAGCCUGAUCCAGCCAUACCGCGUGGGUGAAGAAGGCCUUCGGGUUGUAAAUCCCUUUUGUUGGGAAAGAAAAACAGCAGGUUAAUACCCCGCUGUUCUGACGGUACCCAAAGAAUAAGCACCGGCUAACUUCGUG